rnacentral:siRNA from 1 species
UUUUCAUCCUCAAGUCAUUUGCCA